GCUCUUAUUGUUCUUGCUGGUGUGGUAUGUUCACGGCUGAAAAGAUGGUCAGAAGGGGAAAGGAGGAAGUGAGAAGAAAGAAACAGGGAAAUGACAGAGUGUUGCUCAGUUACCCAGGCUGGAGUGCAAUGGCAUGAUCUUGGCUCACUGCAGCCUCCACCUCCUGGGUUCAAGCGGUUCUCGUGCCUCAGUCUCCCAAGUAGCUGGGAUUACAGACGAAAUCUUGCUCUGUUGCCCAGGCUGGAGUGCGAUGGCAUGAUCUUGGCUCACGGCAAACUCCGCCUCCCUGGUUCAAGUGAUUCUCCUGCCUCAGCCUCCCGAGUAGCCGGGAUUACAGGCAUGUGCCACCAUGCCCCGUUGGCCAGGCUGGUCUCGAACACCUUACCUCAGGUGAUCCUCCCACCUUUGGGAUUACAGACCCUGCAUGUGAUGGAUCAGCUGACACCAUCCAGAUCGGUAAACUGGUUCAUCUGAUCUUGUGCCCUCCACCCAGGAACUGACUCAGCGCAAGAAGACAGCUUCGACUCCUUGUGAUUUCAUCCCUAACCAAUCAGCACUCCUGGCUCACUGGCUUCCCCCAACCCACCAAAUUGUCCUUAAAAACUCUGCUCUCCAAACGCUGGGGGAGACUGAUUUGAGUAAUAAUAAAACCCUGGUCUCCUGCACA
rnacentral:lncRNA from 10 species